rnacentral:rRNA from 1 species
UACGAAGGGGGCUAGCGUUGUUCGGAUUUACUGGGCGUAAAGCGCACGUAGGCGGAUCGUUAAGUCGGGGGUGAAAUCCUGGAGCUCAACUCCAGAACUGCCUUCGAUACUGGCGAUCUUUGAGUCCGGAAGAGGUGAGUGGAAUUCCUAGUGUAGAGGUGGAAUUCGUAGGUAUUAGGAAGAACACCAGUGGCGAAGGCGGCUCACUGGUCCGGUACUGACGCUGAGGUAGCGAAAGCGUGGGGAG